rnacentral:rRNA from 1 species
AUUGAACGCUGGCGGCAGGCCUAACACAUGCAAGUCGAACGAGUGGCGGACGGGUGAGUAAUGUAUGGGAAACUGCCUGAUGGAGGGGGAUCACUACUGGAAACGGUAGCUAAUACCGCAUACUAUCAGAUGUGCCCAGAGGGGAUUAGCUAGUGGGUGGGGUAACGUCUCACCAAGGCGACGAUCCCUAGAUGGUCUGAGAGGAUGACCAGCCAGACUGGGACUGAGCCACGGUCCAGACUCCUACGGGAGGCAGCAGUGGGGAAUAUUGCACAAUGGGCGCAAGCCUGAUGCAGCCAUGCCGCGUGUAUGAAGAAGGCCUUCGGGUUGUAAAGUACUUUCAGCGGGGAGGCGUUACCCGCAGAAGAAGCACCGGCUAACUCCGUGCCAGCAGCCGCGGUAAUUC